GAUGAAGAACGUAGCGAAAUGCGAUACGUAAUGUGAAUUGCAAAUUCAGUGAAUCAUCGAGUCUUUGAACGCACAUUGCGCCCCCUGGUAUUCCGGGGGGCAUGCCUGUCCGAGCGUCAUUGCUGCCCUCAAGCACGGCUUGUGUGUUGGGCCCCGUCCUCCGAUCCCGGGGGACGGGCCCGAAAGGCAGCGGCGGCACCGCGUCCGGUCCUCGAGCGUAUGGGGCUUUGUCACCCGCUCUGUAGGCCCGGCCGGCGCUUGCCGAUCAACCCAAAUUUUUAUCCAGGUUGGCCUCGGAUCAGGUAGGGAUACCCGCUGAACUUAAGCAUAUCAAUAAGCGGAGGA
rnacentral:misc_RNA from 1 species